rfam:Myotis davidii contig131850, whole genome shotgun sequence.
UGCACCUCAAGUGACACACCUCAGAAUCGGGCUCCCUCCUCUCUGAUUCCGGGGUGCGUCACCCAAGAACCGCC